rnacentral:rRNA from 1 species
AUUGAACGCUGGCGGCAUGCCUUACACAUGCAAGUCGAACGGCAGCACGGGAGCAAUCCUGGUGGCGAGAGGCGCACGGGUGAGUAAAGUAUCGGAACGUGCCCAGUCGUGGGGGAUAACGUAACGAAAGUUACGCUAAUACCGCAUACGAUCUAUGGAUGAAAGCGGGGGAUCGCAAGACCUCGCGCGAUUGGAGCGGCCGAUAGCAGAUUAGGUAGUUGGUGGGGUAAAGGCUCACCAAGCCGACGAUCGGUAGCUGGUCUGAGAGGACGACCAGCCACACUGGGACUGAGACACGGCCCAGACUCCUACGGGAGGCAGCAGUGGGGAAUUUUGGACAAUGGGCGAAAGCCUGAUCCAGCCAUGCCGCGUGCAGGAUGAAGGCCUUCGGGUUGUAAACUGCUUUUGUACGGAACGAAAAGGUUUGGCCUAAUAAGCUGAGCUCAUGACGGUACCGUAAGAAUAAGCACCGGCUAACUACGUGCCAGCCGCCGCGGUAA